GCCGAAGUAGCUCAGCUGGCCAGAGCAGGCGUUUCAUACGCGCCGGGUCGGGGGUUCGAUUCCCUCCUUCGGCACCA
rnacentral:tRNA from 1 species